GAUGAAGAACGCAGCGAAAUGCGAUAAGUAAUGUGAAUUGCAGAAUUCAGUGAAUCAUCGAAUCUUUGAACGCACAUUGCGCCCUCUGGUAUUCCGGGGGGCAUGCCUGUUCGAGCGUCAUUAUAACCACUCAAGCUCUCGCUUGGUAUUGGAGUUCGCGAUCUCGCGGCUCCUAAAAUCAGUGGCGGUGCCUGUCGGCUCUACGCGUAGUAAUACUCCUCGCGAUUGAGUCCGGUAGGUUUACCUGCCAGCAACCCCCAAUUUUUACAGGUUGACCUCGGAUCAGGUAGGGAUACCCGCUGAACUUAAGCAUAUCAAUAAGCGGAGGA
rnacentral:misc_RNA from 1 species